rnacentral:rRNA from 1 species
AUUGAACGCUGGCGGCAGGCCUAACACAUGCAAGUCGAACGAGUGGCGGACGGGUGAGUAAUGUCUGGGAAACUGCCUGAUGGAGGGGGAUAACUACUGGAAACGGUAGCUAAUACCGCAUACCAUCGGAUGUGCCCAGAUGGGAUUAGCUGGUAGGUGGGGUAAAGGCUCACCGAGGCGACGAUCCCUAGCUGGUCUGAGAGGAUGACCAGCCACACGGGAAUUGAGACACGGUCCAGACUCCUACGGGAGGCAGAAGUGGGGAAUAUUGCACAAUGGGCGAAAGCCUGAGGCAGCAAUGCCGGGGGUAUGAAGAAGGCCUUCGGGUUGUAAAGUACGUUCAGCGGGGAGGCGUUACCCGCAGAAGAAGCCCCGGCUAACUCCGUGCCAGCAGCCGCGGUAAUAC